UACGAAGGGGGCUAGCGUUGUUCGGAUUUACUGGGCGUAAAGCGCACGUAGGCGGAUCGUUAAGUCGGGGGUGAAAUCCUGGAGCUCAACUCCAGAACUGCCUUCGAUACUGGCGAUCUCGAGUCCGGAAGAGGUGAGUGGAACUCCUAGUGUAGAGGUGGAAUUCGUAGAUAUUCGGAAGAACACCAGUGGCGAAGGCGGCUCACUGGACUGGUAUUGACGCUGAGGUGCGAAAGCGUGGGGAGCGAACCGG
rnacentral:rRNA from 1 species